UACAGAGGUCCCAAGCGUUGUUCGGAUUUACUGGGCGUAAAGGGUGCGUAGGCGGUCGGGUAAGUCUGAUGUGAAAUCUCAGAGCUCAACUCUGAAACUGCAUUGGAUACUAUUCGGCUUGAGGACUGGAGGGGGGACUGGAAUUCUCGGUGUAGCAGUGAAAUGCGUAGAGAUGGAGAGGAACACCAGUGGCGAAGGCGAGUCCCUGGACAGUUCCUGACGCUGAGGCACGAAAGCUAGGGGAGCAAACAGG
rnacentral:rRNA from 1 species